UACGGAGGGUGCAAGCGUUGUUCGGAAUCAUUGGGCGUAAAGCGCGUGUAGGCGGCUUGUCAAGUCGGUUGUGAAAGCCCGGGGCCCAACCCCGGAAUUGCAUCUGAAACUGCCUCGCUAGAGUCCCGGAGAGGAAGGCAGAAUUCCCGGUGUAGGGGUGAAAUCCGUAGAUAUCGGGAGGAAUACCAGCGGCGAAGGCUGCCUUCUGGACGGUGACUGACGCUGAGACGCGAAAGCGUGGGGAGCAAACAGG
rnacentral:rRNA from 1 species